rnacentral:rRNA from 1 species
UACGUAGGUGGCAAGCGUUGUCCGGAUUUACUGGGCGUAAAGGGCGUGCAGGCGGUUUGUUAAGUGCAGAGUGAAAGCUCCCGGCUCAACUGGGAGAGGUCUUUGCAUACUGGCAAACUCGAGGGAGGCAGAGGAAAGUGGAAUUCCCGGUGUAGUGGUGAUAUGCGUAGAUAUCGGGAGGAACACCUGUGGCGAAGGCGGCUUUCUGGGCCUUACCUGACGCUGAGACGCGAAAGCGUGGGGAGCGAACCGG